UCUCUCAACCUCUCACCUCACUCUCUUCCUCUGGACACUAGGACCGUGUCAUCACCAAGGGAGGCUCGUAGCGAGCCCAUGAUCUCCUCCUUGUGAGUUCGAUGGCACGGGAGCAAAAGCUCUAACGAACUCCUCUUUUUCCGUUGGGUUGUACCUUGGAAUGGAGUUGGGUUGAGCACACCCAUUUUUCCAGCGAACCCAUGAGCUUUGAGGGGAUUUCCAGUCACCUCCGAUCGUGUUACGGUUAUUUGAAGGUAAAGUUGCUAGUGGAGAAAUCCUUAAUCCUUUUCCGCUCGACUCUUCUGCUAAGGAAUAUUUGUGAGUGGACCCCUUCUAAAAUUACAUGAUUUUAUAAAUUAAUUGCAUAAAUGAUUAGCAUACCUAAAAAUUUAUGAUUCGAUUUAUGUUAAGCCUGUUUACUGAAUUUAUUGAUUUCGUCUCGUGUUUUUUGUGAGGAAUUAAAUGUUAGUCUAUUUUGAGCUAUAUUUGAAUAUAUCGUAUUUUCUAUAAAAACCAUAAACUGGUAGACUAUCUGAUGGAUGAUGAUAGAAUGCUAGAACAUGUUUUAGAAACCCCUCUUUAUAGUGUAGACGAUGGAUGACUUUAUACUAUGAAGUGGUUAUUUAUGAGAGGCGUAACUAUUUGUGCGUACCUAGAGGAUACUAUGCCGCCUGGGGCGAGGAUCUGGUGUUGGCA